CGAACGCGCGGCUGGAGGAGGGGCUCCUUCACAGAGGAAGAAAAUCCACUGCAAGUCGAGAAGAGGCGGACCUGAUGUACCACGACAUAAUUGAAUUUCAUGUCUUACGAACUCUGUGUAUUUGCCAGAAACUUUUGGGCUGUUCUCAUUCAAAAAAGGAUGAAAUCAUUUUGUGUGUUGAACAGUCCUUACACAUUCCCAGAAAAAAAAAAAAAAUUAUUUUUCAUGUAUAUAUACAAAGUGUAUCCAGCUAAAUCACAAGCAAAAGUGAUUUUAAGCAGGUACCAAGACACGCCGGAUCAUAAAGACGCUGUUCUCCCUUCAAGCUCCUUUGGUGAGUUUAUGGACACGCAUGAGGUAACUUUAAAAGGAGCAGUGUGCACUGGCAGACUUACUACUUCCAGAGGUGAAGGCCGCCGGCGCCUCCAGCUGUCAGAAAGAGCUCCCUGUUCUGCGGCAGGUGUCGGACCUGCCACACAGUGGAUUUAUGAGCCUAAACAGAACAAGAGGCACACAACUGGUUUAUAUGCUAAAUGGUGCCCUGGAAGAGAAACUCUGCAAAUAAAGAACUUUUACUACUAUAA